rnacentral:tRNA from 1 species
AAGAGCGUGCAUCCUAGUUAGGCGUCCACACUUAUCGGUUUGUUUGAUGUUACAGCCAAGGGUCUGUAGCUCAGGUGGUUAGAGCACCGUCUUGAUAAGGCGGGGGUCGUAGGUUCAAGUCCUACCAGACCCACCAAGUUACGGGCGGCGGAGAGCGAUCUUGCCGUGAACUGGGGGAUUAGCUCAGCUGGGAGAGCACCUGCUUUGCAAGCAGGGGGUCGUCGGUUCGAUCCCGUCAUCCUCCACCAACACCUUGUGGUAGCCAAACGCAAGCAUCGAGAGAUCGGUGUUUGCGUUUGGCAUUGCCAAGACGAGUAGUAACUCGGCUGUUCUUUAACAAUAUGGAAUGUAGUAAAGGUGUCGCGGCGCGUUGAUGAGGCGCGCAAUUUAAACGCGACACUGGGUUGUGAUUGUAUCAACCAGUAUUACGAGUGAUCGAAAGACCGCUUGGAAUACGGCACAACGCGAGAACUCAGCCUAUAGCGAGACAUACUCGUUAUAGGGUC